GGGAUUGCCUUAGUAACGGCGAGUGAAGCGGCAAAAGCUCAAAUUUGAAAUCUGGCACUUUCAGUGUCCGAGUUGUAAUUUGAAGAAGGUAACUUUGGAGUUGGCCCUUGUCUAUGUUCCUUGGAACAGGACGUCACAGAGGGUGAGAAUCCCGUGCGAUGAGGUGUCCAAUUCUAUGUAAAGUGCUUUCGAAGAGUCGAGUUGUUUGGGAAUGCAGCUCUAAGUGGGUGGUAAAUUCCAUCUAAAGCUAAAUAUUGGCGAGAGACCGAUAGCGAACAAGUACAGUGAUGGAAAGAUGAAAAGAACUUUGAAAAGAGAGUGAAAAAGUACGUGAAAUUGUUGAAAGGGAAGGGCUUGAGAUCAGACUCGGUAUUUUGCAAGCCUAUCCUUCGUGGAGAGGUUUAUUAGCAGCUUACCGGGCCAGCAUCGGUUUGGAUGGUAGGAUAAUGGCAUUGGAAUGUGGCUCCUCGGAGUGUUAUAGCCUUUGUUGAUACUGCCUAUCUAGACCGAGGACUGCGUCUUUGACUAGGAUGCUGGCGUAAUGAUCUUAAGCCGCCCGUCUUGAAACACGGACC
rnacentral:rRNA from 1 species